GAUGAACGCUGGCGGCGUGCCUAAUACAUGCAAGUCGAGCGAACAGACGGGGAGCUUGCUCCUCUGACGUUAGCGGCGGACGGGUGAGUAACACGUGGAUAACCUACCUAUAAGACUGGGAUAACUUCGGGAAACCGGAGCUAAUACCGGAUAAUAUAUUGAACCGCAUGGUUCAAUAGUGAAAGACGGUUUUGCUGUCACUUAUAGAUGGAUCCGCGCCGCAUUAGCUAGUUGGUAAGGUAACGGCUUACCAAGGCAACGAUGCGUAGCCGACCUGAGAGGGUGAUCAGCCACACUGGAACUGAGACACGGUCCAGACUCCUACGGGAGGCAGCAGUAGGGAAUCUUCCGCAAUGGGCGAAAGCCUGACGGAGCAACGCCGCGUGAGUGAUGAAGGUCUUCGGAUCGUAAAACUCUGUUAUUAGGGAAGAACAAAUGUGUAAGUAACUAUGCACGUCUUGACGGUACCUAAUCAGAAAGCCACGGCUAACUACGUG
rnacentral:rRNA from 1 species